rnacentral:ribozyme from 13 species
UUUUUUUUUUAAAUUUAUCAUAUUAAAUUUUAUUGCGUAUUCCUCUUUCUUUCCUCUUCUCUUUGUGUAACAAGAAAGAAAGACAAAGAUAAAGAUAAAGACAAAGACAAAGAAA